AGAUUAUUCAGUUUGGAGGGAC
rnacentral:miRNA from 1 species